GACGAACGCGGCGGCGUGCCUAAUACAUGCAAGUAGGACGCACAGUUUAUACCGUAGCUUGCUACACCAUAGGCUGUGAGUUGCGAACGGGUGAGUAACGCGUAGGUAACCUGCCUAUUAGAGGGGGAUAACUAUUGGAAACGAUAGCUAAUACCGCAUAACAGUAUGUAACACAUGUUAGAUGCUUGAAAGAUGCAAUUGCAUCGCUAGUAGAUGGACCUGCGUUGUAUUAGCUAGUAGGUAGGGUAAAGGCCUACCUAGGCAACGAUACAUAGCCGACCUGAGAGGGUGAUCGGCCACACUGGGACUGAGACACGGCCCAGACUCCUACGGGAGGCAGCAGUAGGGAAUCUUCGGCAAUGGGGGGAACCCUGACCGAGCAACGCCGCGUGAGUGAAGAAGGUUUUCGGAUCGUAAAGCUCUGUUGUUAAGGAAGAACGAGUGUGAGAAUGGAAAGUUCAUG
rnacentral:rRNA from 1 species